GCCGACUUAGCUCAGUUGGUUAGAGCGCCGCUCUCGUAAAGCGGAGGUCGGAGGUUCGAAUCCUCUAGUCGGCA
rnacentral:tRNA from 1 species